UUGAAUACUUGAAACCAGCAACCGAACUGUGAUCUCACAGACCACUGGCGGUCUUUGCUCAUUAAUCUUGCUGAAUGGGAAGUGAAGAUCUGUUACAGACAUUAAGUAAGGCCUAUCAUUGAUCCUUGUGAGGAUGAACAUUGCACCUGGAAAAGACUGUGCCAGUUGAGGGAAGCAAUGCCAACAGUAUUUGUGGGCCAUGAACAUGCUACGUACUAAAAUUACUCCUAAAUGUAUCUGGUGUCAAAAGCAAUCCAAAUCAACUUCAGUUAUCCUCACACACUUGAACAGCAGAGUGACUUCUGCAUGUGGUACUUUUCCUUUUUGAUUCAAGCUUCAACAUUGUUAUAGGAUUGUCAAUACCUGUCAAUACCAGAUCCACCAUAGUGAAAAUCGAACUGCAGAGACUACCAACAACCUGCAGAAGGGAAUACUCCCCUUCUCAUCUUGGGCACUAUGACAGCCACAGAUAAGCAACAGGCAGAGAGGUAAUUGUUCAUUAUUUACUGCUGAAUUGCCUGGUGCAGGUGUGUAUCCUUCAUUUCAGUUGUCUCUCUCACUCUCUUUGGCUGGAUGAUCUCAUUUUGCACAGAUUCCUUGCACUUUGUAAAGAAUCCCAGAGAUAUGGAAAGGAUCCAUCAUUUUACACUCCCAUGCCAAAUUCUGGCAGUGUCUAAGCAGGUGCUCAGACAUGCUGGAUAUCCAGAAAAUCAAGAAAAUUGCAAAAGAAGAUGGGUAGUUGGUUUGACUCACUGCAUUUUGUGGAUGUGCUCGUGUAUAUUGCAGGAGCCAAAUACUGUCCUAAUGAAACAGUGCACAAGAUUUGGUGAGAACAAAGGGGAAGGGAGUGGGCAGGGGUGGUAAAUGUGUAUAAUUCUUCCAUUUUCUUUCCCUAGAAAACCCUCCACAUUUUGAGGCUGAGGGGGUCAUGGCUGGGAAACAAAGGUGCCUUGUCUUGCUUGGCAGCGCAGGCAGAUGCCUUCUCUACUUUCCAGUUAAAUGCCAGGCUCUGCCAGGCUCUGCCUGGGGCCAGCUGGACCUGUCCAUGACUCAGAACUUGCCCUCUGUAGUGUGGCUGUCCAGGGAGAUGGCACAGCUGGAAUGGCUGUAUGAUACUCACAAACAUCCCUUACCUCCUUGCUCUGACAAUAUUCCAUUGAUCUUCUCCAGCAGUUAAGCUGUGGUCUGACACUCCAGUUGGAGUUUCGGCUGGGCAGCCAAAAAACUUCUGUUCUUCUGUUGUCUUCAAAAGAAAAUGAUCUCUGGCUAUCUUGUCCCUGAUGAAUCCAGCUGCAGAAAGGGAGGAGUUACUCAGUCACCACGGCCAAAGAGGCAACUUCCCUACCCUCACUUAAACUACAUGACUGCUGGCAAGACACUGGAUAAGGCUUGUCUGCAUACCAGGUUUGAAAAAAAGAUGAAAGAUCCUGGCUUGACCUGAGGAUGACCUCUCUGUACACAAGCUCCGUUAUUGUAGAGGAACUGAAAGCAGCAGUGCUUAGCAAAACCAAACCAAACAAGCCUGAGAAGCAGGCGGAGGGGCUGGAGCUGCUGCCCUGCAGAGAGGUGAAGCUCAGAGCACCAGCCCCUGCCCCUGUGCUCUGCCUGUGCCUGAGUGCCCGGGAGCCAAACCUCAGUGCGGACCUCGGGGGACCUGUGUCAGCAGUGAACCCCAACAAGUCAGGUUCCUUCCCAGCCCUGGAAAGACUUGUGUCUAAAAGCAGAUCCGAAAAACUGUGCCAUCUGUUUUUCAGACUUGACAUUGAUGGUUUCAGUUUUGCUGCUAAAAUGCACCUUGCACUCUCGAAAAUAUUUCCUGUUCGGGUUCCUGCCCAAGUGACUUACAGAAACUGCAAGAGAUCAGACAGCAAUGGAAACUGUGACCACGUCCUCCUGCAGCUGCUCAGCAGCAGAAAAGCAGAUGCAGCUGGCUACUGAGAGGCGGUACACAUGGCAAAACCAUUGCCUGCCAACCCCUCUGCUGAGACCAAGCUUGACAAGAGCCUACAUGGAGGAGGGAGUGAGACCAGCCUCUACUUUUCCUGGAACAUUGGGCAUUUGAUUGCCACUAGAAGACUGAAGAAAUCUUCUUUGAAGUCGCUGCAAUUACUUUGUCUGGACUAUACUGUAUGGCUAUUUUUUGAUCUCGUCAAGCACAGGCUGCUUGCAAUCGAUACAGAAAGAAGGGGCGAAGGAGAAGAAUAGAAAAGGAAUGGAAAAUGCCAUGGUAAGGUCACUGAAACAUAGUUUUCGGAUAUGUGAAGAAUACCCACCAGGAUGAAGCAUUCAUCUCUUCAUAAGAUUUUCAGAAGUUUUUCCAAAACAAACACUGAAUGUCACAACAAUAAUUAAUUAACAUGGUCAAGCUCUUUCCUCCUUACUCCUAUUGUUCACACAGCAGUCUGUAAAAAACAGAAAGCAAAAACAUUGAAAAAGCAGCACUUUUAUGGCAUUCAUUGGGUUCGCUCUUGAUCAGGCAGCAUUCUUUAUAAAGCAGCAAACGGAGCAACAUGGGAAUCUACAAAUUGUAACAGACUCUUGCAAAAGAACUGACACUUUAUCUUAAUGUACAUCUGCAAUUAUAAAAGUUGUGAGAAAGUUUCAAAAUAAACCGCAACCCUGGAA